GACGAACGCUGGCGGCGUGCCUAACACAUGCAAGUCGAACGGCAGCACAGGAGAGCUUGCUCCCUGGGUGGCGAGUGGCGGACGGGUGAGGAAUACAUCGGAAUCUACUCUGUCGUGGGGGAUAACGUAGGGAAACUUACGCUAAUACCGCAUACGACCUACGGGUGAAAGCAGGGGAUCUUCGGACCUUGCGCGAUUGAAUGAGCCGAUGUCGGAUCAGCUAGUUGGCGGGGUAAAGGCCCACCAAGGCGACGAUCCGUAGCUGGUCUGAGAGGAUGAUCAGCCACACUGGAACUGAGACACGGUCCAGACUCCUACGGGAGGCAGCAGUGGGGAAUAUUGGACAAUGGGCGCAAGCCUGAUCCAGCCAUACCGCGUGGGUGAAGAAGGCCUUCGGGUUGUAAAGCCCUUUUGUUGGGAAAGAAAUCCAGCUGGCUAAUACCCGGUUGGGAUGACGGUACCCAAAGAAUAAGCACCGGCUAACUUCGUGCCAGCAGCCGCAGUAA
rnacentral:rRNA from 1 species